AUGACGAUAGAUAUGGAAGGGGCUGAAUAUCAUUUGCCCUUGUAUACAAUCUCUUCAUCAUCCACGUCGAAUGCUGGAUUACAGAGACAUCUAAAGAGUCUACCGAUUCCCUACAAUAUCAUAGACCAAAAAAGCAAGGGCCACUACCAUCCAUUUUAAACUGGCGACGAACAUCUUCUUGAAGUUGCAGCAGUUGAAAAGCACCUAUAAAACAUUGUAGUCCACCACAUCAAAGAUACAAAUAUGACAAGCAGGGGGUGGAUCUUGAAUUAAAUAAUGGUUGUCAUUUUCGCCGACUAAUUCAGAGGAAGCCAUUGAUGCAACUGCUAGAUGUCCGAUGUAGUCUUCAAAGAGUUCGCUCCCAAAGAGGAGUGCAAAUACAGCAGUUGGAUCAAGCAUAGUUUCUCUACAAAGAGGG